CUCCUCAAAAAGUGCUUUUCUGGGUUUCCACGACUGCCUCCCUUCCUCCCCAAAAUGAUUCUCCAUCCGAGGAAUAUUUAAAACCGCUGCUGUCCGUCCUAACGUGCCAGGGCUGAGAUUGCUGCUGGAACUUCCCAGGGCUGCUGCAGUAACCCCGCCCCACUCCUGGGAAGAAGAUUCUAGGCGAGUGACCGCUUCCACCCUCUUUAUGGCCCUGGUCUGGGGUCAGAAAGGAAGAGGACUGAGGAAAAUGUAGGUAAAGGCUGUCCUUGCAUUGUGAAUGUCCAGCCCAGGGGAAUACUUGGCACAUGGUAAAUGCUCGAAUAUAUUGUAUGAAUGAAUGAAGAUAAUGAAUGAAUGAAUGAAUGAAUGAAGAUAAAAAGGGAAUAGGAUCCAGUUCCUGUGUCUUCUGAAUCUGGAAUGUGGCAUGACCUUCUUUUCUACCCUGUUCUCCUAAAAUUGUCAUGGAUUUAUAGCAUGGUGCUGGGCUAGUGGGUAGGAAAGGGGCUGACAUCUAAGAGCCCUCUGUAUACUGGACACUGUGAGUGUUUUCAGUGUGGGUGAAUGAAAUUGAAAUCUACUUGCCACCAGACAGGAUGACACUGUUGCAGAGCAUGAAUCAGGUUAUCUGAAGGUUGUGAUGGAUUAGGAAAGGCUCUCUCCUGCUGACAACAGGGGAUGCCCCAGCUCAAGCUGCUGCUCCAAUAGCACAGUCCUACACUACAGGUUUUGAUCCAGGCCAAAAGGGGUAUGAUUGAUUCUGCAGUGCUCAGAUUCUGGAUGCAGUAUGAGGGGACAUCGUUCCUCUGCAGAUGUUACGGCUGCUGAAAUGAGGAAGAAGGAAAGGAAAGGAAGAAAAGAAGAAAGAAAGAAAAGUCAGGAACGUGUUGAGGUUGUAACGACAAGGAAAUAUUCAAGAGGAAGCCUUUCAGAACCUUCAUACACUUGGUGAGAAUGUAAAUUCGUACGACCACUAUGGAGAACACUUUGGAGCUUCUUCAAAAAACUAAAAAUAGAGCUACCAUAUGGGGCGAUCCAGCAAUUCCCCCACUGGGUAGAGACCUGAAAGAAAGGAAAUCAGUAGGACAAAGAGAUAGCUGCACUCCUGUGUUUGCUGCAGCACUGUUCACUAUAGCCAAGAUUUGGAAGCAACGUAAGUGUUUACCAAUAGAUGAAUGCAUAUAGAAAAUGUGGUACAAAUACACAAUGGAGUAUUAUUCAGCCAUAGAAAAGAAUGAGAUCCUGUCAUUUGCAACAACAUGGAUGGAGCUAGGGAUCAUUAAGCUAAGUGAAAUAAGCAAGGCAAAGAAAGACAAGCAUCACAUGUUCUCACUUAUUUGUGGGAUACAAAAAUCAAAACAAUUGAAUUCAUGAACAUAAAGAGUAGAAGGAUGGUUACCAGAGGCUUGGAAGAGUAGUAGGGGGUGAGGGUGAGGUGGGGAUGGUUAAUGUUAAUGGGUACAGAAAAAAAAUAGAAUGAAUAAGACUUACUAUGUGAUAGCACGACAGGUUGACUAUAGUAAUAACUCAAUUGCACAUUUUAAAAUAACUAAAAGAAUAUAAUUGGAUUUUUUGCAACACAAAGGACAAAUGCUUGAGGGGGUGUAAUUCUCAUUCUCCAUAUGUAAUUAUUACACAUUGCAUGCCUGCAUCAAAGCAUUUCACUUACCCAGUAAAUAUAUACAUCUACUAUGUAUCCACAAAAUUAAAAAUAAAAUUUUUUUUAAAGAAUCUUCAAAAAUAAUGGCAACGACAUAAUCAAAAUACUUCAUAAAUAAUUUAAUAUUGAUUACAUGUGGAAAUACUAUUUUUUAUAUAUUUAGUUAAAUAAAAA